UACAGAGGUCUCAAGCGUUGUUCGGAUUCAUUGGGCGUAAAGGGUGCGUAGGUGGCGCUGUAAGUCGGGUGUGAAAUUUCGGAGCUUAACUCCGAAACUGCAUUCGAUACUGCGGUGCUUGAGGACUGGAGAGGAGACUGGAAUUCAUGGUGUAGCAGUGAAGUGCGCAGAUAUCAGGAGGAACACCAAUUGCGAAGGCAGCUCGCUGGGACGUAACUGACGCUGAGACGCGAAAGCGUGGGGAGCAAACAGG
rnacentral:rRNA from 1 species